rnacentral:lncRNA from 1 species
UUCCUCGUCACUCGUACUCUUUUCCAAUUUUUUUUCCCCCAUUUUUAAAUUUUUUUUCUAACAUUUUUAUAUAUUAUUUUGAUUCACUUGUUUGAUACGUUUAAUAUGGCUAGGGCUAUUAUACUCUUAUGAGUAUAGAGCCAUUAGUACUCAUAAAUUAUUUUUAAUGAUAGAGAUUUCGAAUCGACGAUUCAAUCCGUUAAAUAUGAUCUAGAGUAUUUGAAGCUUUUAGAAAAUAAAUUUCGUAAUUUUUCGAAAUCAUAAUAAAGUUCAUCAAGCGAGUAUAAAAUGAACAGUCAAAAUCGAACGACGUCUUAAAAAUAGAUGUUCGGAUCCUUUAAUUUAAGAUUGGAGUUAUUGAUCUUUAUCUAUAUAGUGAAUAGAAUUUUUUUAUCAAAAUUCAACUGAUUUUGAUUUUUUUACACCGUUAAACUAGCAAAUAUUUCAUAUCGGCCGUUAAAAAUCGUCAAUUUUGUGACAUUUUGAUCGUAAGAUAAAUGAUGUUAAAAAAUUAUAAAAUUUGAUUUCUAGACGUUUUAAAUGCCCUACAUAAUGUUUAAUGAUAUGGAUCGUCGAUUCGAAAACUCUAUCAUCGAAAACAACUUAUGAAUACGAGGGCAAUCGUACUCAUAAGAAUAUAGUAGCUGCACUUGUUUAAUAGAAUAUACUAUUAUUGGAUGGAGUGAUAUUUUGAG